CAGCGAAAGCGUUAAGUAUUCCACCUGGGGAGUACGCCGGCAACGGUGAAACUCAAAGGAAUUGACGGGGGCCCGCACAAGCGGAGGAACAUGUGGUUUAAUUCGAUGAUACGCGAGGAACCUUACCCGGGCUCAAACGCAGGGGGAAUGUCGGUGAAAGCCGGCAGCUAGUAAUAGUCACCUGCGAGGUGCUGCAUGGUUGUCGUCAGCUCGUGCCGUGAGGUGUCGGCUUAAGUGCCAUAACGAGCGCAACCCCUAUCGACAGUUACUAACGGGUGAAGCCGAGGACUCUGUCGAGACUGCCGACGCAAGCCGCGAGGAAGGUGGGGAUGACGUCAAAUCAGCACGGCCCUUACGUCCGGGGCGACACACGUGUUACAAUGGCAGGUACAGAAGGCAGCCAGUCAGCAAUGACGCGCGAAUCCCGAAAACCUGUCUCAGUUCGGAUUGGAGUCUGCAACCCGACUCCAUGAAGCUGGAUUCGCUAGUAAUCGCGCAUCAGCCAUGGCGCGGUGAAUACGUUCCCGGUCCUUGCACACACCGCCCGUC
rnacentral:rRNA from 1 species